UUUUGCAUCUGAUAACUUGGAUGAAUUACAUAUUAAACAAGGGUGAAGACCUUAAAUUUUACAAUUUUUUAAUUUUUUUUAAUCCUUCUUUUUCCUUCUCUCUUCUUUCAACCUUUCCUCCACCUUAAACCACCACCUUCUAGAAGGCUCCAUUAAUAAGAAAAUAGCAAAUUCAAACUACUCCCGCCAUUUUUAGGAAAAAUAACAAGAAAAUAGCAAAUUUCACCAAUCUCUUUCUUUACUCCCACCAUUUUUAAGAAAAAGCUCAUACUCUUCGCUCACUCUAAGAUAGCACUUUCCCAUCUCCAGGCGAUUUCCAAACUACAAUAAAAAAAAAAUAGCAAAUUCAAACAUAUUCAACUAUAUCAGAACGAUCCGUCAUCAGCGCGAAAAAACAAAAGUAGAAAAAGGAUAAAAUCAAACCUUUAAAGCAGAAUGGACCAGUAGUUUAUUCAAGGAAGGAGAUGGAGAACAAAUUGGGUACAACAAUGGAGAUUUCUCACUAAAAAUCAGAGUCGAAGGGGCUGGGGUUGCUUGUCGUUUGAAGCGAUGAAGGGGAAGGGGAGCUGUCAGUGGUGUAGUUGCUUGGGUUUCGCCGGAGCUCCGGCGUUGACUCAUCGGAGAAGAUGGAGUGCGGGGGGUGAAGUCUCCCUAGCCCAAAAGGUAGAGAUCUUUGUACAUCUGACCCUCUCCGGACCUCACUUGUGGGACUACUCUAGGUUAUGCAAGUCGUAUUUCAAAACUCGGCAAUUGAAGACGAACAAGUGUUCAAAAUAACCUCACUAGCUUUAAGCUAAUAGUCCUCAUGUACAAGAUCCUUACUGAUUAAAUAUUCUGUGUCAUUAAUACUAUCUGAG